GCCAGACUCCUACGGGAGGCAGCAGUGGGGAAUAUUGCACAAUGGGGGAAACCCUGAUGCAGCAACGCCGCGUGAGUGAAGAAGUCAUUCGUGAUGUAAAGCUCUAUCAGCAGGGAAGAAAAUGACGGUACCUGAGUAAGAAGCCCCGGCUAACUACGUGCCAGCAGCCGCGGUAAUACGUAGGGGGCAAGCGUUAUCCGGAUUUACUGGGUGUAAAGGGUGUGUAGGCGACCUUGCAAGUCAGAAGUGAAAUCCAUGGGCUUAACCCGUGAACUGCUUUUGAAACUGUAGGGCUUGAGUGAAGUAGAGGCAGGCGGAAUUCCCGGUGUAGCGGUGAAAUGCGUAGAGAUCGGGAGGAACACCAGUGGCGAAGGCGGCCUGCUGGGCUUUAACUGACGCUGAAGCACGAAAGCGUGGGUAGCAAACAGGAUUAGAUACCCGGGUA
rnacentral:rRNA from 1 species